UACGAAGGGGGCUAGCGUUGCUCGGAAUCACUGGGCGUAAAGGGUGCGUAGGCGGGUUUUUAAGUCAGGGGUGAAAUCCUGGAGCUCAACUCCAGAACUGCCUUUGAUACUGAAGAUCUUGAGUCCGGGAGAGGUGAGUGGAACUGCGAGUGUAGAGGUGAAAUUCGUAGAUAUUCGCAAGAACACCAGUGGCGAAGGCGGCUCACUGGCCCGAUACUGACGCUGAGGCACGAAAGCGUGGGGAGCAAACAGG
rnacentral:rRNA from 1 species